rnacentral:rRNA from 1 species
AGCCGGAGGGAAACCGAGUCUUAAUUGGGCGUUAAGUUGCAGGGUAUAGACCCGAAACCCGGUGAUCUAGCCAUGGGCAGGUUGAAGGUUGGGUAACACUAACUGGAGGACCGAACCGACUAAUGUUGAAAAAUUAGCGGAUGACCUGUGGCUGGGGGUGAAAGGCCAAUCAAACCGGGAGAUAGCUGGUUCUCCCCGAAAGCUAUUUAGGUAGCGCCUCGUGAAUUCAUCUCCGGGGGUAGAGCACUGUUUCGGCCAGGGGGCCAUCCCGGCUUACCAACCCGAUGCAAACUGCGAAUACCGGAGAAUGUUAUCACGGGAGACACACGGCGGGUGCUAACGUCCGUCGUGAAGAGGGAAACAACCCAGACCGCCAGCUAAGGUCCCAAAGUCAUGGUUAAGUGGGAAACGAUGUGGGAAGGCCCAGACAGCCAGGAUGUUGGCUUAGAAGCAGCCAUCAUUUAAAGAAAGCGUAAUAGCUCACUGGUCGAGUCGGCCUGCGCGGAAGAUGUAACGGGGCUAAACCAUGCACCGAAGCUGCGGCAGCGAACGUAUCACUUAAAGCGAUUCAGCGGAUGACGAUUGACGGAGCGAAGCGACGUCAAAGCGUUUUACAAAGUCGAGUCGGUUUAAGGAUACGUUCGUUGGGUAGGGGAGCGUUCUGUAAGCCUGCGAAGGUGUGUCGUGAGGCAUGCUGGAGGUAUCAGAAGUGCGAAUGCUGACAUAAGUAACGAUAAUGCGGGUGAAAAACCCGCACGCCGGAAGACCAAGGGUUCCUGUCCAACGUUAAUCGGGGCAGGGUGAGUCGACCCCUAAGGCGAGGCCGAAAGGCGUAGUCGAUGGGAAACGGGUUAAUAUUCCCGUACCUGGUGUUACUGCGAAGGGGGGACGGAGAAGGCUAUGUUGGCCGGGCGACGGUUGUCCCGGUUUAAGCGUGUAGGCUGGUUUUCCAGGCAAAUCCGGAAAAUCAAGGCUGAGGCGUGAUGACGAGGCACUACGGUGCUGAAGCAACAAAUGCCCUGCUUCCAGGAAAAGCCUCUAAGCCUCAGGUAACAUCAGAUCGUACCCGAAACCGACACAGGUGGUCAGGUAGAGAAUACCAAGGCGCUUGAGAGAACCCGGGUGAAGGAACUAGGCAAAAUGGUGCCGUAACUUCGGGAGAAGGCACGCUGACACGUAGGUGAAGCGGUUUACCCGUGGAGCUGAAGUCAGUCGAAGAUACCAGCUGGCUGCAACUGUUUAUUAAAAACACAGCACUGUGCAAACACGAAAGUGGACGUAUACGGUGUGACGCCUGCCCGGUGCCGGAAGGUUAAUUGAUGGGGUCAGCGCAAGCGAAGCUCCUGAUCGAAGCCCCGGUAAACGGCGGCCGUAACUAUAACGGUCCUAAGGUAGCGAAAUUCCUUGUCGGGUAAGUUCCGACCUGCACGAAUGGCGUAAUGAUGGCCAGGCUGUCUCCACCCGGGACUCAGUGAAAUUGAACUCGCUGUGAAGAUGCAGUGUACCCGCGGCAAGACGGAAAGACCCCGUGAACCUUUACUAUAGCUUGACACUGAACACUGGUCCUUGAUGUGCAGGAUAGGUGGGAGGCUUUGAAGUGUGGACGCCAGUCUGCAUGGAGCCGUCCUUGAAAUACCACCCUUUAAUGGCUGGUGUUCUAACGUAGACCCGUGAACCGGGUUGCGGACAGUGUCUGGUGGGUAGUUUGACUGGGGCGGUCUCCUCCUAAAGCGUAACGGAGGAGCACGAAGGUUGGCUAAUCCUGGUCGGACAUCAGGAGGUUAGUGCAAUGGCAUAAGCCAGCUUGACUGCGAGCGUGACGGCGCGAGCAGGUGCGAAAGCAGGUCAUAGUGAUCCGGUGGUUCUGAAUGGAAGGGCCAUCGCUCAACGGAUAAAAGGUACUCCGGGGAUAACAGGCUGAUACCGCCCAAGAGUUCAUAUCGACGGCGGUGUUUGGCACCUCGAUGUCGGCUCAUCACAUCCUGGGGCUGAAGUAGGUCCCAAGGGUAUGGCUGUUCGCCAUUUAAAGUGGUACGCGAGCUGGGUUUAGAACGUCGUGAGACAGUUCGGUCCCUAUCUGCCGUGGGCGCUGGAGAACUGAGGGGGGCUGCUCCUAGUACGAGAGGACCGGAGUGGACGCAUCACUGGUGUUCGGGUUGUCAUGCCAAUGGCACUGCCCGGUAGCUAAAUGCGGAAGAGAUAAGUGCUGAAAGCAUCUAAGCACGAAACUUGCCCCG